AUGCAUGGUCUAGAAUUGCUUAAGAAUGGUGUCAUUUGGCGGGUGGGUGAUGGAUCUAGCAUUAAUAUUUGGAGGGAUAAUUGGUUACCCAGGAACACUGGACUUAAAAUUUCAGCUAAAAGGCAUAAUACUAGAUUGAAGUGGGUCUCUGAUUUGUUCUUGAGUGGGAGAAAGGCAUGGGAUGAAAAUUUGAUCAAGUAUCUUUUCUAUCCCCAUGAUGCAGAGGAGGUUCUUAAGAUUCGUAUUCAUGCUUAUGGGGAUGGAGAUUUUAUUGCGUGGCACUAUGAGAAUAACGGUAUAUUUUCCGUUAAAAGUGCGUACAAUUUAGCACUUAAGUUGAAGGAUAGCCAAGAUAAAUUGGGUCAAUCUAGUGGCUAUCCAUGCGGAGAAAGAAGACUCUGGAAUUUAAUUUGGAAGGCUAAUAUCCCUCAAAAGAUAAGGAUUUUUGCUUGGAGGGCCGCGACCGAUAGCUUGGCGGUCCAGACCAAUAGAGUUAAGCAUCAUCAGAUUACUUCAGGUAUGUGCUUUAUUUGUGGAGUAGAAGAGGAAAGCACAUUUCAUGCCCUAGUUAUUUGUCCUAAGGCUCGUGCACUGCGACUGGCCUUGAGAGAAUCGUGGAAUAUUCCUGAUGAAGAGUGGUUCAAAUUCUCGGGACCAGAUUGGCUAUUGAUUUUGUUGGAUUUUUUGAGCUUGCAACAGAGAGAGCAAGUUUUGUUUCUGUUCUGGCGAGCAUGGCACCUGAGAAAUGAUUUAAUUUUUUAG
rnacentral:rRNA from 1 species